rnacentral:rRNA from 1 species
GUAGGGAAUAUUGGGCAAUGGUCGGAAGACUGACCCAGCCAUGCCGCGUGCAGGAAGACGGCCCUCUGGGUUGUAAACUGCUUUUAUCUGGGAAGAAAAAGGCCAUGCGUGGCAAAUUGCCGGUACCAGAUGAAUAAGCACCGGCUAACUCCGUGCCAGCAGCCGCGGUAAUACGGCGGGUGCGAGCGUUGUCCGGAUUUAUUGGGUUUAAAGGGUGCGUAGGCGGCUGAUUAAGUCAGCGGUGAAAGACUUCGGCUUAACCGGAGCAGUGCCGUUGAUACUGAUUGGCUUGAGUGUCGGAGGGGUACAUGGAAUUGAUGGUGUAGCGGUGAAAUGCAUAGAUACCAUCAGGAACACCGAUAGCGAAGGCAUUGUACUGGCCGACAACUGACGCUGAUGCACGAAAGUGUGGGGAUCGAACAGGAUUAGAUACCCUGGUAGUCC